rnacentral:rRNA from 1 species
AACGAACGCUGGCGGCAGGCUUAACACAUGCAAGUCGAGCGCCCCGCAAGGGGAGCGGCAGACGGGUGAGUAACACGUGGGAACGUACCUUUUGCUACGGAAUAGCUCCGGGAAACUGGAAUUAAUACCGUAUGUGCCCUUCGGGGGAAAGAUUUAUCGGCAAAAGAUCGGCCCGCGUCUGAUUAGCUAGUUGGUGGGGUAAUGGCCUACCAAGGCGACGAUCAGUAGCUGGUCUGAGAGGAUGAUCAGCCACACUGGGACUGAGACACGGCCCAGACUCCUACGGUAGGCAGCAGUGGGGAAUAUUGGACAAUGGGCGCAAGCCUGAUCCAGCCAUGCCGCGUGAGUGACGAAGGCCUUAGGGUUGUAAAGCUCUUUUGCCGGGGACGAUAAUGACGGUACCCGGAGAAUAAGUCCCGGCUAACUUCGUGCCAGCCGCCGCUGUAACAC